rnacentral:rRNA from 1 species
ACUCCUACGGGAGGCAGCAGUGGGGAAUGUUGCACAAUGGGCGCAAGCCUGAUGCAGCAACGCCUCGUGUGUGAUGACGGCCUUCGGGUUGGAAACCUCUUUUAGCAGGGAAGAAGGGAAAGUGACUGUACCUGCAGAAAAAGCGCCGGCUAACUACGUGCCAGCAGCCGCGGUAAU